rnacentral:rRNA from 1 species
AUACGGAGGAUCCGAGCGUUAUCCGGAUUUAUUGGGUUUAAAGGGUGCGCAGGCGGCCAUUUAAGUCAGCGGUUAAAUCGUGGGGCUCAACCCCAUUCUGCCGUUGAUACUGGGUGGCUUGAUUGCGGUCGAGGUUGGCGGAAUUCGUUGUGUAGCGGUGAAAUGCAUAGAUAUGACGAAGAACACCGAUUGCGUAGGCAGCUGACCAGACCGCAAAUGACGCUCAUGCACGAAAGUGCGGGGAUCGAACAGGAUUAGAUACCCUGGUAGUCCGCACAGUAAACGAUGAAUACUCGCUGUUUGCGAUACACUGUAAGCGGCCAAGCGAAAGCGUUAAGUAUUCCACCUGGGGAGUACGCCGGCAACGGUGAGACUCAAAGGAAUUGACGGGG